rnacentral:rRNA from 1 species
GACGAACGCUGGCGGCGUGCCUAAUACAUGCAAGUUGAGCGCUGAAGGUUGGUACUUGUACCAACUGCGUUAGCAGCGAACGGGUGAGUAACGCGUGGGGAACCUGCCUUUGAGCGGGGGAUAACUUCUGGAAACCAAUGCUAAUACCGCAUAAAAACUUUAAACACAAGUUUUAAGUUUGAAAGAUGCAAUUGCUUUACUCAAAGAUUAUCCCGCGUUGUAUUAGGUAGUUGGUGAGGUAAAGGCUCUCCAAGGCGAGGGUACCUAGACGACCUGAGAGGGUGAUCGGGCAAAACUGGACUGAGACACCGCCCAAACUUCUACGGGGAGGAGCAGUAGGGGAACUUAGGCCAUGGACGGAAGUCUGACCGAGGAACGCCGCGUGAGUGAAGGAAGUUUUCGGAUCGUAAAACUCUGUUGGUAGAGAAGAACGUUAGUGAGAGUGAAAAGCUCAUGUAGUGACGGUAACUACCCAGAAAGGAACGGCUAACUACGUG